rnacentral:rRNA from 1 species
UUCUGUAGCAAGGUUAACCGUAUAGGGGAGCCGGAGGGAAACCGAGUCUUAAUUGGGCGUUAAGUUGCAGGGUAUAGACCCGAAACCCGGUGAUCUAGCCAUGGGCAGGUUGAAGGUUGGGUAACACUAACUGGAGGACCGAACCGACUAAUGUUGAAAAAUUAGCGGAUGACCUGUGGCUGGGGGUGAAAGGCCAAUCAAACCGGGAGAUAGCUGGUUCUCCCCGAAAGCUAUUUAGGUAGCGCCUCGUGAAUUCAUCUCCGGGGGUAGAGCACUGUUUCGGCUAGGGGGCCAUCCCGGCUUACCAACCCGAUGCAAACUGCGAAUACCGGAGAAUGUUAUCACGGGAGACACACGGCGGGUGCUAACGUCCGUCGUGAAGAGGGAAACAACCCAGACCGCCAGCUAAGGUCCCAAAGUCAUGGUUAAGUGGGAAACGAUGUGGGAAGGCCCAGACAGCCAGGAUGUUGGCUUAGAAGCAGCCAUCAUUUAAAGAAAGCGUAAUAGCUCACUGGUCGAGUCGGCCUGCGCGGAAGAUGUAACGGGGCUAAACCAUG